rfam:Meloidogyne hapla strain VW9 Mh10g200708_Contig829, whole genome shotgun sequence.
GGCUCAGUGGUCUAGUUGGUAUGAUUCUUGCUUUGGGAGCAAGAGGUCCCGGUUUCGAUCACCGGCUGAGCCC